CACCCACCCUCCUUACCACCUCCUUCUAGAGUCUGCUUUCUGUCUUGGCAUUUCCUUCUGGGGAUUUAAUGACAAAGCAUUAAGAAUAUGUAGCACUGUGGUUUGUUGAGUGUUUGGUGGGCAGGUUAUAGGCAUUCUGACAUGGCCUUCACUGAUGCGAUUUGGAUUUACAGGACCAAGGCUGCUUACUAUUGCCCUCUGAAGUACAAAUCUUUUUUUUUUUUUUUUUUUUUAAGUACAAAUCUAUAAUGGGGGCAGGUCCCAAAGUGUGGCAAGGGUGCAAUUCUUUUCAAUGUGGUCCAGCUCUUCAGGUGAAAAUGAAGUCCUCCUGCUGCCUGGGUUGCUGGAAGGAUUGAUCCUGGCCCCUCAUUCUACAUUAGGGACACUGGAGCAGUUCAGUCAUGACACCAGCAGAGAGUUACAGGAGAUGGAUAUGAGAGAAGGUCUAGCCCUGUCCUACCACCCUGGGAGUGCCUUAUUUGGAAAAGGCCCCCCGAGCCCACAGCCUUACCUCCCAUGAGGAAGAGAAGCCCUGCCACAUACUGCAUAAGGCCUCGGUCCCAGCAGCAGCCCAGCACGCCGAUGAUCCAGCCGAAGAGGAUGAUGGCCACCGCCAUGCCCAUGAAGCCGGCUGUCAUCCUGCGCAGGUGCAGCCCUGUCCUUCCCAAGCAUCUGGCUCAGCUGUCCGAGACGGGUCCCGUCUUUAUCCCGAUUUGAAAAAUGGAGUGAACUGCUGAAAGCCGUACAGCGAACAAGCAGCAGAACAGGGCAUCAAGCCCAGAUCUGCACGGCUCCUGGGCGCCAACCACAGCAUCGUUCGCCUCUCAGGGAGAAGUGGGCCUUUGGAGGAGGGCGGGCUCUUGGCCUCCUGGCUGCACCUGCCAAGAGCUCCCUCCCUCCCCUCCAGGGUUGACUGGGCUCCCCAGGAGGUCCAGUGUGAGGAGGAGGCUGCUGCGGUGUCUCCUUCCUCCCCCUCCAAGCCAGCUCCCAGGGGCUCAGCUUCCGCUGCAUGUGGGGUUGCAGGGCGGGGAACCACACUUCCUGCCCUCACACUGCACCCCUGCGCAGGCCUCUUCAGCCCCUAAGACCCAAAUCAGCCCAGCCUUCUGGGUCUGGCCUUUCUCCACUCCUGGGUUCGCUGACCCCGCCAUACAAAGCUGAUGUGGGUCCAGGCAUGAGAAGGGCUGAAAAAGGCAGUAUUUUUAGUGGAAGGGAGAGAGCAGAGCUGCUCUCACAUCUCAGCCGCCCUCAAGCAACAUCCUGCCCUAGGCUCUCUCCAGCGCCCUCUAGUGUGUGCCCCACCAACCUCAUGCUCCCUCCCUGGGGUCCAGCCUUCUAACCUCCUGCUGGGCAACACCCUGGUCGCUUGCCCUUGAUUCCCUCCACCCUGCCCCAGCACCCACCAGCCUGCAGUUCCCUGUCCACCUCCGUGGUCUGUGCGGAGCCCAUCUGCCAGCUCCAGUCCCAGUCCCGCCAAUGGGACUCCAAACAGGAGCAAGCCACCUGCCCAGCCUCUGCACCCAGGGGGUUGCCAGGGCAGCCUGGAGGACCCCAUGGGCACUCCCUGCUCUCAAAGGGAGAGACAGACAGUGAGGAUACCCGACAGCAAACUCUAUCCACAUUCCAUGCAAGCAAGGGAGAAAUCUCCGCUCAUCCCCCACUAACAUGCGGCAAGUUUCUGCCCACCACGAGGGUGUCCCAUCCGCUCUGUUCCUCUCCCACCCCAGUCACCACCGUUGGGAGCGACGGCGGAUCCUGGCACAGUUAGGCUAGAGAACUCUCAGCCCUCUCCCCUCGGAAGAGGGACUCGGUCCACCCUCCUUGGCCUGACACGGGGGAUGAGAUGCUGGCAGCCCUCCACCCAGGGGGAGCUGGCUGGGGUGUGGGGAGACAGAGGCAGAGGACAGCGGCCGGGACAGGAGGCAGGACAGGCCCCUGUGGUGGAGGCCGAAAGCCAUCCAGAGAGAGGUUCCUGCUCGAUCUGUUCUCCUCUGUCCUCCCCUACCCGAUCUGGAAGGCCUGCCCCAGCCAGGUAGGAGUGAUACCCAUUAGAGUCACUUAUGGGAGCUGCCAGGGAGCUAAUUAUCGCGCCACACUCCACAGAUGGUGCCUAUCACCAAUGUGUCCCAGGAAGCUUCCCGGAGGGGCGCCGCUCGCUCCAUCACAGCACAGUGCUCACAUGUGCAUGUGCGCCCCGAGCCGGCUCCCUGCGUCCGUGCUCGGGCACCCACAGCCAGCUUGAAACAAAGAGGCACAGCCUCGCCAGGUGCAGAGGCACUUCUCAUCCCGGGAUCUAACUGCCUGGUCGUCCUGGCCCUCAUCUCCCCACACUGCUUUUUCUGCUGCCACCUGUCUUAGCCCUUCUUCCUUUGCCACCACCCACAGUCCUUGGAGUGAGCCAGGCCCCAGCCCCCCUGGUUGGUGAAGAGCCCGCUCUUUUGAUGUGUGAGUCCAUUUGACCCCUGGAAGUGUAGUCAAGGGCAAGGAGGCAGCGGGGAAGGAGAGGUCAGGGUAUUUUUGGAGUAACGUAGGUUUAUAUCCCCUUAAACAGAUCAGGAAAUUUUGCUCUAUGCCCCUGUGAGACCUCUGGCUCCCUUUACAGGGCAGGAGGGGCUUCUAAAAUCUCGGCCUCUUUGGCAGCAGGAGAGAGGGACAAUGUGGUUAAGGUCACAGAGCCCCUCCCCUGCACUUGGCCUUGCUCAUGGGUGGGCCUUCCUGGUCCUCAGGCUCUGCAGAUCCACGGGAGCAAAGGUACUGCCUGGGGGAUUAAGUGGACCACGUGUCCUAUAAGGUGUGUCCCCGUGGGCCAGGAAUGGACAAAUAGGAGAAGGAAAUGCAAUUGGAGGAAGCAGAGACACGAAGAAGAUAACUUCUCUUGCAGAAGUUCUGAGACAGGGGACAGUCACCUGUGUCCCAGGUCCGAGAGGGGCUGUGGCCCUCGAGCACAGAUUAGGGGCACUUUGUCAGCAAAAGCUGAGUUGUUGAUCUGGAAAGCAGGAUGAAGACCAGAGGUCAGGCCUGAGUAUUUUCACUGACUGAGGGUAUUUUUACCACCACCCCGUGAGUCCAAUUUGCAAGAUCCAGAGAAGUCAAAUAAUUUAUUGACAAACCAGUGACAUAAAAGAAGAGUGAGUUGGGUGGGAAAAUAAAAUUAAUAAUGCAGCUAAAGACCUACUGGGUUGUCAUGGUGAUUGAACAGAUGUAUUGGGCAUUUCUUCCUUCCAAAUAAACUGAGA